rnacentral:rRNA from 1 species
UACGGAGGGAGCUAGCGUUGUUCGGAAUUACUGGGCGUAAAGCGCACGUAGGCGGCUAUUCAAGUCGGGGGUGAAAGCCCGGGGCUCAACCCCGGAACUGCCCUCGAAACUAGGUAGCUAGAAUCUUGGAGAGGCGAGUGGAAUUCCGAGUGUAGAGGUGAAAUUCGUAGAUAUUCGGAAGAACACCAGUGGCGAAGGCGACUCGCUGGACAAGUAUUGACGCUGAGGCACGAAAGCGUGGGGAGCAAACAGG